CUUCGUUUCAAAAUGAAAAAAUUUCUGUGUAUCACAUCGGCACUCUUGUUGUGUAUGUGCUUUGCAGAUGCAAGGGACAUUCGCUCUCCAUGCAACCCUAAUCUCAAUGCUACCUGUGUUGAUUCCGAGCCUACAAUUUUUGAAAGGAUUG